rnacentral:ncRNA from 1 species
CCUUAUAAAGAGUGGCGGAGGGAACGGCCCUGUGAAGCCCGGCAACCUGUUUUUCAAGGUGCCAAAUCCGACGGUUCUGCCGACAGAUAAGG